GUGACAGCCCCGUACACAAAAAUGCACAUGCUGUGAGCUCGAUGAGUAGGGCGGGACACGUGGUAUCCUGUCUGAAUAUGGGGGGACCAUCCUCCAAGGCUAAAUACUCCUGACUGACCGAUAGUGAACCAGUACCGUGAGGGAAAGGCGAAAAGAACCCCGGCGAGGGGAGUGAAAAAGAACCUGAAACCGUGUACGUACAAGCAGUGGGAGCACGCUUAGGCGUGUGACUGCGUACCUUUUGUAUAAUGGGUCAGCGACUUAUAUUCUGUAGCAAGGUUAACCGAAUAGGGGAGCCGAAGGGAAACCGAGUCUUAACUGGGCGUUAAGUUGCAGGGUAUAGACCCGAAACCCGGUGAUCUAGCCAUGGGCAGGUUGAAGGUUGGGUAACACUAACUGGAGGACCGAACCGACUAAUGUUGAAAAAUUAGCGGAUGACUUGUGGCUGGGGGUGAAAGGCCAAUCAAACCGGGAGAUAGCUGGUUCUCCCCGAAAGCUAUUUAGGUAGCGCCUCGUGAAUUCAUCUCCGGGGGUAGAGCACUGUUUCGGCAAGGGGGUCAUCCCGACUUACCAACCCGAUGCAAACUGCGAAUACCGGAGAAUGUUAUCACGGGAGACACACGGCGGGUGCUAACGUCCGUCGUGAAGAGGGAAACAACCCAGACCGCCAGCUAAGGUCCCAAAGUCAUGGUUAAGUGGGAAACGAUGUGGGAAGGCCCAGACAGCCAGGAUGUUGGCUUAGAAGCAGCCAUCAUUUAAAGAAAGCGUAAUAGCUCACUGGUCGAGUCGGCCUGCGCGGAAGAUGUAACGGGGCUAAACCAUGCACCGAAGCUGCGGCAGCGACGCUUAUGCGUUGUUGGGUAGGGGAGCGUUCUGUAAGCCUGCGAAGGUGUGCUGUGAGGCAUGCUGGAGGUAUCAGAAGUGCGAAUGCUGACAUAAGUAACGAUAAAGCGGGUGAAAAGCCCGCUCGCCGGAAGACCAAGGGUUCCUGUCCAACGUUAAUCGGGGCAGGGUGAGUCGACCCCUAAGGCGAGGCCGAAAGGCGUAGUCGAUGGGAAACAGGUUAAUAUUCCUGUACUUGGUGUUACUGCGAAGGGGGGACGGAGAAGGCUAUGUUGGCCGGGCGACGGUUGUCCCGGUUUAAGCGUGUAGGCUGGU
rnacentral:rRNA from 1 species